rnacentral:misc_RNA from 1 species
GUUUGCCCAGUGCAUUGACCACAAUUAGUCAGAACUAUGAUUACGAUACUGUAAAUAUUUAAGACAUCAAGAACCCAUGAUAAUGUCAUCCACUAUUCCCUUACAAUGAGCCAUGUGAGCAUUGUGGUGGCUACUGAGGAAAGGAAAUUAAGAAAUGAACCUCAAUGAAAGAUCAAACCCUGCUACUUCCUCGGCGAUUACGAGCAUAUGAUCUAGGUACCGGCCCUUUAUCCUGAAAUGAUCGUCUCUCUGCAUAUUGUUUUUGUUUUUUCAAAAAAAGAAUUUGAGCCUGUUUCUUCUUCUCUUCAGCUUUCAUUUUUGUCAGGCUUGGACGGUAGAGAAUCACAGUCCUACCAAUUUGACCAACAACCACUGAGCCAGUUGCUUCUUCCAAAUGCUUUACAACAUCAUCCAGCUCUCCUCCGGGACAGGUACCAUGUAUUUUGAGCUUGAGAAGCUCAUUAGCUUCAAGAGUCUCCUCUAAAGCCAUGACCACAGUAUCAGUAACACCAGAUUUGCCAACCUGUUGGCUCUUUAGCUUCUUCCCUAAACUAUGUGCAUAGGAUGCCAAUUCUUUCUUCUCUUUCACAGUCAGAUUCGGCAAUUUCGCCCUUAAUAUUUUUCUCUCAGACUCACUACGCCUGGGGGCAGUCACUUCUUCAUUUUGUUUUACAAUUUCCUCAUCUUCCACAUCCUCAGAAGAUUCCAAGAGAGAUUGAGAGGUACAGCUAAUUGGAAGGUUAGAGAAAGUUCUAGAACGAAGGAAGAUUGAUGUAUGGGUCCGAAGAGAGGGGAAGGAGGAAAGAGAAUUGUUGAUGAUGGGAUGAAGUGACGUCGUCUGAUGGGGAAGAAGAGAGAGAGAUUGCUUAAGGAAGGAGAAAGAAAGGAUGGGAGCGGGUCGGAGCAGGCGAUGGAGAGCCAUGGAGGAAGAGGAAGAAGAUAAC